rnacentral:rRNA from 1 species
GGGUUGUGAGGUUAAGCGACUAAGCGUACACGGUGGAUGCCCUGGCAGUCAGAGGCGAUGAAGGACGUGCUAAUCUGCGAAAAGCGUCGGUAAGGUGAUAUGAACCGUUAUAACCGGCGAUGUCCGAAUGGGGAAACCCAGUGCAAUUCGUUGCACUAUCGUUAACUGAAUACAUAGGUUAACGAGGCGAACCGGGGGAACUGAAACAUCUAAGUACCCCGAGGAAAAGAAAUCAACCGAGAUUCCCCAGUAGCGGCGAGCGAACGGGGAGCAGCCCAGAGUCUGAAUCAGCUUGUGUGUUAGUGGAACGGUCUGGAAAGUCCGACGGUACAGGGUGAUAGUCCCGUACACCAAAAUGCACAGGUUGUGAACUCGAAGAGUAGGGCGGGACACGUGGUAUCCUGUCUGAAUAUGGGGGGACCAUCCUCCAAGGCUAAAUACUCCUGACUGACCGAUAGUGAACCAGUACCGUGAGGGAAAGGCGAAAAGAACCCCGGCGAGGGGAGUGAAAAAGAACCUGAAACCGUGUACGUACAAGCAGUGGGAGCACCUUCGGGUGUGACUGCGUACCUUUUGUAUAAUGGGUCAGCGACUUAUAUUCUGUAGCAAGGUUAACCGUAUAGGGGAGCCGCAGGGAAACCGAGUCUUAACUGGGCGUUAAGUUGCAGGGUAUAGACCCGAAACCCGGUGAUCUAGCCAUGGGCAGGUUGAAGGUUGGGUAACACUAACUGGAGGACCGAACCGACUAAUGUUGAAAAAUUAGCGGAUGACUUGUGGCUGGGGGUGAAAGGCCAAUCAAACCGGGAGAUAGCUGGUUCUCCCCGAAAGCUAUUUAGGUAGCGCCUCGUGAACUCAUCUUCGGGGUAGAGCACUGUUUCGGCUAGGGGGUCAUCCCGACUUACCAACCCGAUGCAAACUACGAAUACCGAAGAAUGUUAUCACGGGAGACACACGGCGGGUGCUAACGUCCGUCGUGAAGAGGGAAACAACCCAGACCGCCAGCUAAGGUCCCAAAGUCAUGGUUAAGUGGGAAACGAUGUGGGAAGGCACAGACAGCCAGGAUGUUGGCUUAGAAGCAGCCAUCAUUUAAAGAAAGCGUAAUAGCUCACUGGUCGAGUCGGCCUGCGCGGAAGAUGUAACGGGGCUAAACCAUGCACCGAAGCUGCGGCAGCGACACUAUGUGUUGUUGGGUAGGGGAGCGUUCUGUAAGCCUGCGAAGGUGUGCUGUGAGGCAUGCUGGAGGUAUCAGAAGUGCGAAUGCUGACAUAAGUAACGAUAAAGCGGGUGAAAAGCCCGCUCGCCGGAAGACCAAGGGUUCCUGUCCAACGUUAAUCGGGGCAGGGUGAGUCGACCCCUAAGGCGAGGCCGAAAGGCGUAGUCGAUGGGAAACAGGUUAAUAUUCCUGUACUUGGUGUUACUGCGAAGGGGGACGGAGAAGGCUAUGUUAGCCGGGCGACGGUUGUCCCGGUUUAAGCAUGUAGGCUGAUUGUCCAGGCAAAUCCGGAUAAUCAAGGCUGAGGUGUGAUGACGAGGCACUACGGUGCUGAAGUAACAAAUGCCCUGCUUCCAGGAAAAGCCUCUAAGCAUCAGGUAACAUUAAAUCGUACCCCAAACCGACACAGGUGGUCAGGUAGAGAAUACCAAGGCGCUUGAGAGAACUCGGGUGAAGGAACUAGGCAAAAUGGUGCCGUAACUUCGGGAGAAGGCACGCUGGUGUGUAGGUGAAGUCCCUGCGGAUGGAGCUGAGACCAGUCGAAGAUACCAGCUGGCUGCAACUGUUUAUUAAAAACACAGCACUGUGCAAACACGAAAGUGGACGUAUACGGUGUGACGCCUGCCCGGUGCCGGAAGGUUAAUUGAUGGGGUUAUCCGUAAGGAGAAGCUCUUGAUCGAAGCCCCGGUAAACGGCGGCCGUAACUAUAACGGUCCUAAGGUAGCGAAAUUCCUUGUCGGGUAAGUUCCGACCUGCACGAAUGGCGUAAUGAUGGCCAGGCUGUCUCCACCCGAGACUCAGUGAAAUUGAACUCGCUGUGAAGAUGCAGUGUACCCGCGGCAAGACGGAAAGACCCCGUGAACCUUUACUAUAGCUUGACACUGAACAUUGAGCCUUGAUGUGUAGGAUAGGUGGGAGGCUUUGAAGCGUGGACGCCAGUCUGCGUGGAGCCAACCUUGAAAUACCACCCUUUAAUGUUUGAUGUUCUAACGUUGGCCCCUGACCGGGGUUGCGGACAGUGUCUGGUGGGUAGUUUGACUGGGGCGGUCUCCUCCCAAAGCGUAACGGAGGAGCACGAAGGUUAGCUAAUCCUGGUCGGACAUCAGGAGGUUAGUGCAAUGGCAUAAGCUAGCUUGACUGCGAGCGUGACGGCGCGAGCAGGUGCGAAAGCAGGUCAUAGUGAUCCGGUGGUUCUGAAUGGAAGGGCCAUCGCUCAACGGAUAAAAGGUACUCCGGGGAUAACAGGCUGAUACCGCCCAAGAGUUCAUAUCGACGGCGGUGUUUGGCACCUCGAUGUCGGCUCAUCACAUCCUGGGGCUGAAGUAGGUCCCAAGGGUAUGGCUGUUCGCCAUUUAAAGUGGUACGCGAGCUGGGUUUAGAACGUCGUGAGACAGUUCGGUCCCUAUCUGCCGUGGGCGCUGGAGAAUUGAGGGGGGCUGCUCCUAGUACGAGAGGACCGGAGUGGACGCAUCACUGGUGUUCGGGUUGUCAUGCCAAUGGCACUGCCCGGUAGCUAAAUGCGGAAGAGAUAAGUGCUGAAAGCAUCUAAGCACGAAACUUGCCCCGAGAUGAGUUCUCCCUGAGACUUUAAGUCUCCUGAAGGAACGUUGAAGACGACGACGUUGAUAGGCCGGGUGUGUAAGCGCAGCGAUGCGUUGAGCUAACCGGUACUAAUGAACCGUGAGGCUUAACCUUACAACGCCGAAG